GCAAACUUGGUCAUUUAGAGGAAGUAAAAGUCGUAACAAGGUUUCCGUAGGUGAACCUGCGGAAGGAUCAUUACCGAGUUAGGUGCUUCUUGCACCAACUUCCAACCCUUGCGAAACAACUCUUUUGUUUGGUGGGCCAGGCUUGGCUUGCUGACUUCCAGCGAGUGCCCGCCAAAGUUUUUUCAAGAUAUGCUGAAACGUGUCGUCUGAAUGCAAAAAAUUCAAUUGACCAAAACUUUCAACAACGGAUCUCUUGGUUCUGGCAUCGAUGAAGAACGCAGC
rnacentral:misc_RNA from 1 species